GGCAGUGGAGGCUUGACGGUUAAGGCUCUGGUUUCCUGAUCGGAAGGUCGGGGGUUCAAGCCCCAGCACUGCCA